UGCAGCUGGAAUGGUUCCAACAAGCUGGUUCGAGUUCAGACCCCUAAGAACAAGAAGCAAAGAGAUACAAAAUGAAUCAACAAGGAAUAGUACUUCUUCCUUUCUGACUUGAAAGUUUGAAAGUCUCCUAAUAAAUAUGGCUGCAACGAACCAGUAUUCUGAGUGAUUGCACAUGAGGAAAUGUUCAAGGAUUCAAGCUGCAUCAAGUUUCCCAUAGCAGGCGAAAGUUGGCCACCAAGAUCCUUGUUAUUAGACAGGUCCCUGCAGAUUUUCCAUUAAUGAAUUCAGAAACAGAAAUCUUAUAAAAGAACUCACAGCUCUGUAACU